UACAGAGGGUGCGAGCGUUAAUCGGAAUUACUGGGCGUAAAGCGCGCGAGGCGGUUUGUUAGAUCGGGUGUGAAAUCCCCAGGCUCAACCUGGGAACUGCAUUCGAGACUGCAUAGCUAGAGUAUGGGAGAGGGAAGUGGAAUUUCAGGUGUAGCGGUGAAAUGCGUAGAUAUCUGAAGGAACAUCAGUGGCGAAAGCGACUUCCUGGACCAAUACUGACGCUCAUGUGCGAAAGCGUGGGGAGCAAACAGG
rnacentral:rRNA from 1 species